rnacentral:rRNA from 1 species
CCUACGGUGGGUAGCAGUGGGGAAUAUUGGGCAAUGGGCGCAAGCCUGACCCAGCAACGCCGCGUGAAGGAAGAAGGCUUUCGGGUUGUAAACUUCUUUUGUCAGGGAAGAGUAGAAGACGGUACCUGACGAAUAAGCCACGGCUAACUACGUGCCAGCAGCCGCGGUAAUACGUAGGUGGCAAGCGUUGUCCGGAGUUACUGGGUGGAAAGGGCGUGUAGCCGGGUUGACAAGUCAGAUGGGAAAUCCUGCGGCUUAACCGCAGAACUGCAUUUGAAAAUGUUGGUCUUGAGUACUGGAGAGGCAGACGGAAUUCCUAGUGUAGCGGUGAAAUGCGUAGAUAUUAGGAGGAACACCAGUGGCGAAGGCGGUCUGCUGGACAGCAACUGACGGUGAGGCGCGAAAGCGUGGGGAGCAAACAGGAUUAGAUACCCCUGUAGUC